UGGGGAAUCUUCCGCAAUGGACGAAAGUCUGACGGAGCAACGCCGCGUGAGUGAAGAAGGUUUUCGGAUCGUAAAACUCUGUCUUUUGGGGCGAACGUGAGUAUGGUGAACAAUCAUAGUCAGUGACGGUACCAAAGGAGGAAGCCACGGCUAACUACGUGCCAGCAGCCGCGGUAAUACGUAGGUGGCAAGCGUUGUCCGGAAUUAUUGGGCGUAAAGAGCGCGUAGGCGGGAUAGUCAGUCUGUUGUAAAGUGCGGGGCUCAACCCCGUGAUGGCAAUGGAAACAGCUAUUCUUGAGUGCAGGAGAGGAAAGUGGAAUUCCCAGUGUAGCGGUGAAAUGCGUAGAUAUUGGGAGGAACACCAGUGGCGAAGGCGACUUUCUGGACUGUGUCUGACGCUGAGGCGUGAAAGCCAGGGGAGCGAACGGGAUUAGAUACCCCGGUAGUCCUGGCCGUAAACGAUGGGUACUAGGUGUGGGAGGUAUCGACCCCUUCCGUGCCGGAGUUAACGCAAUAAGUACCCCGCCUGGGGAGUACGGUCGCAAGACUGAAACUUAAAUGAAUUGACGGGGUCAUAGCUGUUUCCUG
rnacentral:rRNA from 1 species